AUUGAACGCUGGCGGCAUGCCUUACACAUGCAAGUCGAACGGUAACGGGCCUUCGGGUGCCGACGAGUGGCGAACGGGUGAGUAAUGUAUCGGAACGUACCUUUCAGUGGGGGAUAACGUAGCGAAAGUUACGCUAGUACCGCAUAUUCUGUGCGCAGGAAAGCAGGGGAUCGCAAGACCUUGCGCUGAUGGAGCGGCCGAUAUCAGAUUAGCUAGUUGGUGAGGUAAAGGCUCACCAAGGCGACGAUCUGUAGCGGGUCUGAGAGGAUGAUCCGCCACACUGGAACUGAGACACGGUCCAGACUCCUACGGGAGGCAGCAGUGGGGAAUUUUGGACAAUGGGGGCAACCCUGAUCCAGCCAUGCCGCGUGAGUGAAGAAGGCCUUCGGGUUGUAAAGCUCCUUCGGCCGGGAAGAAAUCGUAUCAGCUAAUACCUGGUGCUGAUGACGGUACCGGCAUAAGAAGCACCGGCUAACUACGUGCCAGCUGCCGCCGUAAUAC
rnacentral:rRNA from 1 species